rnacentral:rRNA from 1 species
AGUGAACGCUGGCGGUAGGCCUAACACAUGCAAGUCGAACGGCAGCACAGUAAGAGCUUGCUCUUACGGGUGGCGAGUGGCGGACGGGUGAGGAAUACAUCGGAAUCUACUUUUUCGUGGGGGAUAACGUAGGGAAACUUACGCUAAUACCGCAUACGACCUACGGGUGAAAGCAGGGGAUCUUCGGACCUUGCGCGAUUGAAUGAGCCGAUGUCGGAUUAGCUAGUUGGCGGGGUAAAGGCCCACCAAGGCGACGAUCCGUAGCUGGUCUGAGAGGAUGAUCAGCCACACUGGAACUGAGACACGGCCCAGACUCCUACGGGAGGCAGCAGUGGGGAAUAUUGGACAAUGGGCGCAAGCCUGAUCCAGCCAUACCGCGUGGGUGAAGAAGGCGUUCGGGUUGUAAAGCCCUUUUGUUGGGAAAGAAAAGCAGCAGGUUAAUACCCCGCUGUUCUGACGGUACCCAAAGAAUAAGCACCGGCUAACUUCGUG